UAAAGUUCCCCACUUUUGUCUCAGUUUCUUUGCUUGAUCUUUAGAGAUGUGUGGUUUGUUUCCCUUGUUUGUUUUCAUGAUGUGAGGUCUCCUGCCAUAAUUGUUCCUGAGUUUGGUUAGGUGCUGUGGUGGAGAACAGAUGGUGCGCAUCAGUGAGAAGACUCCUGUGUGUGCUAUUGUUCACCUUCAUAAUGGAGAAAAAGUCCUCACACAGGGCCAGAUGGUCGGACCGGGAGAAUGCCCUCUCACAGAGGUGGCACUGGAAGGGCCUGUGUCCUGUGUGUUUCCUGUAGUGGCGGGUCAGCUCGUCGGAACGGGCGAACUUCCAGCCACAUCCCUCCCAGGUACAGUGGUACGGCUUCUCACCUGAAGAAAGCAGAAGGAUUUCAGCAUGUUUCUCGUCCAAAACCUGAAUGCUGGAAAAGCCAGCAAUGGACGGCAGAAGCGCAUCUGCCAGAGCCAUCCUUUUACGCACAAACCUCAAGGAAUUCAACAAGUUUACUUUCUCAUCCGGGCACGAGUUGACACCAUUGAGCUGUAAAGUAACCUGCUUUUCCUCUUUCAUUUAUCACUGCAGUGGAAUGCCUGAAUGAAGGUGGUCGCACAUUUUCCAGCACCUUGUCCAGUUUGACUAAUUGGUGUGUCUGGGCUAAUCUACAGGCUCCAGAGUAGUAAUUAUCCCCCAUCUUGCAAGAAGCAGGGGAAAUCCACAGCUAUCUAAUACAAAUUUGCUUCCUCGCAUGAUGUGAAAAAGCAACAUGGAGACGGCACCUUUGCUAAUGCAUCAAACGAGAACAAGCAAAGACAGAAUGGGAGCGGCAAACCAAUCAGUCCUGGACGACCAUGGGAAAUGAAAAAGCAAAAAGUGGUGGCCUUGAUUUGUAAUCAGAACUCCUGCAUUUCCUGUCGCAGAAAUCCAUACAGGAUUUAGUUAAACAGUCUGUCUUGCUGCACGUAAGCUGAGAAUGAGGAAUGUUUUGGAAGCAUUGCAAGAAAUUCCAAACUCAGUUCCAAACUCCAAGCUGAUUUUGACUUACGAGAUGUGCCAAUUGGACUUUUUCCCAAACACAAAAAAGAAUAAUAUUUGUUGUGCUGUAUCUGUAUUUUUUAGAACACAAGUUGUAUUUAGAGGGAAAUCAUAUGAAGCAGCACAUGUUGCACUGAUAGAAGACCCUUAAGGGUUCUUUAAUUGUACUACUAAAGGAUUUAUCUAGAAUCAGUUAGCCGAAUGUUUUAUAAUUCAAAAGUUUUGAAAGCUGAAGAACACUGAACUAUCCCAAGAAAUAUUGAGGAACCAUUUUAAUUAAUGUUCACUUCCUAUAUUUAGCAUGUCUACAACUAAGAUUAAAAAAGCCUGGCGCCCUUGGCUGUGGUUCAGUUUCUCUUAACGCUUUCCACAUCUUUUUAGUAUUGUCGAGUUGUAAUAAAGGUGUCUGGACUUGUCCCAUAAA